rnacentral:rRNA from 1 species
UCUGGUUGAUCCUGCCAGUAGUCAUAUGCUUGUCUCAAAGAUUAAGCCAUGCAUGUCUAAGUAUAAGUUCUGUACUGCGAAACUGUGAAUGGCUCAUUAUAACAGUUAUUAUUCCCUGGCCGGUCAGUGAUCCCUUGGAUACCCAUGGUAAUUCUAGAGCUAAUACAUGCACAAAGAGGCGACUUCUCGGAAGCCUUGUGUUUAUUAGAUACAGAACCAAUACCGCUUGCGGUUUGUGGAUGAUUCAUAAUAAAUGAACGGAGCGCAUGGCUUGUGCCGGCGCUGUAUCAUUCAAGUUUCUGACCUAUCAGCUUUCGACGGUAGGGUAUUGGCCUACCGUGGCAUUGACGGGUAACGGAGAAUUAGGGUUCGAUUCCGGAGAGGGAGCCCGAGAAACGGCUACCACAUCUAAGGAAGGCAGCAGGCGCGCAAAUUACCCAAUCCUGACGCAGGGAGGUAGUGACAAGAAAUAACAAAGCAGGUGCAAAUGCAUUCUGCUAUUGGAAUGAGUAGAAUUUAAAUCUCUUUUCGACUAUCAAUUGGAGGGCAAGUCUGGU